rnacentral:rRNA from 1 species
AGUGAACGCUGGCGGUAGGCCUAACACAUGCAAGUCGAACGGCAGCACAGUAAGAGCCUGCUCUUACGGGUGGCGAGUGGCGGACGGGUGAGGAAUACAUCGGAAUCUACUUUUUCGGGGGGGAUAACGUAGGGAAACUUACGCUAAUACCGCAUACGACCUACGGGGGAAAGCAGGGGAUCUUCGGACCUUGCGCGAUUGAAUGAGCCGAUGUCGGAUUAGCUAGUUGGCGGGGUAAAGACCCACCAAGGCGACGAUCCGUGGCUGGUCUGAGAGGAUGAUCAGCCACACUGGAACUGAGACACGGUCCAGACUCCUACGGGAGGCAGCAGUGGGGAAUAGUGGACAAUGGGCGCAAGCCUGAUCCAGCCAUACCGCGUGGGUGAAGAAGGCCUUCGGGUUGUAAAGCCCUUUUGUUGGGAAAGAAAAGCAGCAGGUUAAUACCCCGCUGUUCUGACGGUACCCAAAGAAUAAGCACCGGCUAACUUCGUG